rnacentral:lncRNA from 1 species
CAAUUCAUGGUUGAGAGUGGAAAAGUAUAACAUAGGAAGAUCCUCUAUCCAUACUAAGACCAAAAUGAUUAAGACCCAAAUGGGUUUUUGAUUGGAUUUGGAUUAGGAAUUCCCUCUUUUUUUAAUCCUUUUCUAUUUUUUAUUUUCUAGAUCUAUAACCCACGAUCUUUCUUAAUCUUAUCCAAUUUCCCUUCCUUUUUCUAAUAGUUAUACAUACAAUUAUGUAUGUAUGUAUUAUAUGACCAACUUUCUAUAGGUCACAUAGACAUCCAAAUAAGCAGUAGAAGUGAGAUGGAGAAAAGAGGUCUUAACUAAAAAAAGGAAAAUGAAUAUAAUUUAUGUAUGGAUCCCGGUAAAAUACCGGUACUCUAUUCCAUAAGAUAAGAGUCGAAUAGGAAGUUAAGAUGAGGAUGGUAUCAUCAUAAAGGUAGAGUUAUAUCCUAAAUUCUACUAAUCUGCAUAUCAUAUGCGUGUCUUUCUUUAUCGAAUCGGAAGUAGUGAAAAAAAUUCCUAUACACCUCCCCUACCUCUUUAAUGAGAGAUGCAAAAUAAAAAAGUGAAGUAAGGGCGCCCCAUUGGUAUUUGAUCUUGCCCCCGCUUUUUUCAUGGAAAAUGGAAGGGUUAAUUUCUCCAUUCAUUGAACCCUAGUUCGGGACUGACGGGGCUCGAACCUGCAGCUUCCGCCUUGACAGGGCGGUGCUCUGACCAAUUGAACUACAAUCCCCGCGGGGUGUAUGGCAUACCUAUCCUAUCCUUAAAUAGAAGAAUAAGAAGAUUCGAUUCGUCUGUCGUACUCUAAGAAAUAGACGAAUCAUAUACUACAUACCCACAUAUUAUAUGUGGGUAUUGUGAGAGUGACAUAACUAAUAUGUCGUGAUUUUUUAUCACUAAAAAUGAAGGGUAAUCCACCUUUCAAUAAUAAAAACUCUUUUGUUUGUAAGAAAGGAAUGAGAGAGAUAUGGAUUAGAAAUUGAAUUUCCCCUUUUUUUCUUUCUCUUUUAUUUCUAUAGAUCAGACAUUUGUUUAUGGAAGAAAAAUAAAAAGAUUUAGUUCAUAUUCACGAAGCCCCAGAUUUUUGGGCCGAGCUGGAUUUGAACCAGCGUAGACAUUUUGUCAACGAAUUUACAGUCCGUCCCCAUUAACCGCUCGGGCAUCAACCCAGGAAGAAUUUUUUCUAGGGUUUUUGAUAAUCUAUGAUUAAUCUCCUUUCAUAAUACUCCCUACCCCCAGGGGAAGUCGAAUCCCCGCUGCCUCCUUGAAAGAGAGAUGUCCUGAACCACUAGACGAUAGGGGCAUCACUAGACGAUAGGGCCAUAUAUAACCGCUCGUGAUUAUACUAUAAUCAUAGUAUGAGCAAAUUUUUUUGAAUUGUCAAUAUACUCGAAGAGUAUAACAAGAUCCAAAGUAAAGAAUUUUUGCUACUUUGCUGUUAUGUUUUCAUAGGAUUUUUUUAAUUCAUGCUUAGAUUAAUUCAUGGGUCAUCCCCUACUUUAUUAGGGAAAUUCCUUUAAAAGGUAGAGAAUAAGAAUCGAUUACUAAAAGGAUUCUAGAUUAGUUCAGUAUAGGUAGUCAUUUGAUUGAUCUAAGAUGAAAAAGAGUCAAAUUUCAUUUAUUUUUUGCAAUUUAGAUUCCGUGCUUCAUUUAGUGUUCAGACCAAAAAUGCAUGCAUCUCGCACUAAGUCAUAAAAUUCAAUAAAAAAUAGAGAAAGUUUCAAAAACAAAGUAAAAAGUAAAUGAAUUUAGUAGAAAAGUAUUCUAUCAGAUUCGAACCGAUGACUUAUGCCUUACCAUGCCAUUACUCUACCACUAACUUUAAAAGCCCUUUAUCGGAUUUGAACCGAUGACUUACGCCUUACCAUGGCAUUACUCUACCACUGAGUUAAAAGGGCUUUUUUUUUAAUUCAAAAAUGAGCCACUUUCAUUUCCCAUUCUGGGUCUACUGCAUAAUGUACAUAAGAUAUGUAGAUAUCCAUAUAUCUAUAUAAGUUUAUUCAUCGUGAGGUUCAAAAUAUUGAUAAAAUCAAUAAAAAUAAGAAAAUAUUUGCUAUUAUCUCUUAUAACUUGCAUAAAACAAAGUAGAGAUCCUUUUUUAUAUAAUAAAAUGCGUGAAGAGAAAGUUGACACAAUAAAAAAUAAUAAACCAUACCCUAUACAUACCUAACUCUUCUUAAUUCAGGGUUUUUCGUUUCCGAAGACUAGGAAAAUAGGCGGAUUCUGGAACCCUAAGGAUUCGAUGGUAUAUGGCUAUGGAAAAUAUAAGAUUUUUGAUCCUAGCGGGAAAAGGAACGGAACAGAUACCCAAUAUGAUUCUUGGGAGGAACAUUUCGUAAUGGUCUUGAUCCUCUAUGCUCUUUUUUAUGUGUUGCUAGUUCGAUUGCACUUUUUUGAUUCUUUUAAACAAAACAAGAAUCUACUAAACCAGAAUUGAAAUUGAGUGAGUGGAAAAAAGGGGUUUAUAGGGACAGUUCAGAUGCUAUUGGCAUGGUAAGAAGAGGUGUAUUUUACAGACCAUAGGGGUUAUCGAAAUCCUAAAGUAAAGGCCUGCAAUCGAAGUAGAAGUACCAACGGCUCACUGCCAUGAACCUUCUCCAUUUGAUUCACUAAGGGGAAAUUCACCUGCUUCUCGAAUGGGUAUCAUUGACAAAGGGUUGCGUUUGUAUCAUAAUCUACAUGUAGCGGGUAUAGUUUAGUGGUAAAAGUGUGAUUCGUUCUAUUAAUAACUGAAUUAAAAUGAUAUACUUAAGGCAUCCUUAAGUUUUUUUCUAUUCCGAUGAAAACUUUAGUUCUUAUAAAGGAUUUCAUCCUUUUCCUCUCAAUAGCGUAUUGAGGAACAAUAUACAUUCUCGUGAUUUGUAUAAUUGAAAUUGCAUCCAAAAUACAAAUAGGAUUAUGAGUACAGAGUCGCGAAGCAUAAUUUUACAUUGGAUUAAGUAUUCCAUAUAUUAAAAAUAUGAGUAAAGGAUCUAUGGAUGGAGAUACAAAAAAGUUUUUUCCAAUCGUAACUAAAUCACCUUUACCUUCAAAACGGGAAAAGGAAGCCAAAUAGCUAAAAGCGGUAGUUUUGGUUUACUAGAACCAUCAGCAUAUUGUUUAAGCUCGGUGGAAACCCAAUUCUUUUCCUCAAGGAUCCCUUGAAUGAAAUUAGGGAACGAAGUAAGUAGAUUAGAUGGAUUUAGAUCGAAUUUCUAUCUCCUUACUCUAUAAGGAUCAUCUAGAAAGCGGAGAGCUUUGGUUCUAUUCAAAUAGAAAAGCUGACAUAGAUGUUAAGUGGUGAGAAUAUCCAUAAAGGAGCCGAAUGAAAUGAAAAUUUCAUGUUCGGUUUUGAAUUAGAGACGUUAUAAAUAAUCAACCAACGUCGACUAUAACCCCUAGCCUUCCAAGCUAACGAUGCGGGUUCGAUUCCCGCUACCCGCUCCAUUCUGUAUAUGUAUAAAAGGAGUAUUCCAUUUGUCUAGACCUGUAUAAAAGGAGUAUUCUAUUUGUCUAGACAUAGUUGAGGCCCGUAUUUAACCUUUUCCGUUCACCAUUUUCUGCUACUGCAGAGCGGAGUAGAGCAGUUUGGUAGCUCACGAGGCUCAUAACCUUGAGGUCACGGGUUCGAUUCCCGUCUCCGCACUUAGCAGUCUCUAUAAAAGGACUAUUCCAUUUCUAUAUAUAUGGUACAGGGUUGGGUGGUAUCCAAUCCAAUUUUUUUAUUCAUUACUUCCUGGCCUUAGAGGGCAAAAUUGAGCAGUCUGCGAAGCCGCCUGCCUCCAUAAGAAGAACAGGCAAGGUUUCUCCCUACCCUGCAGAAAAGAAAAAUGAAAGAAACGCACAGUCUACCUCCCUUCCCUUUAAAAGCAGUUUGCCAGUUCUUUGUCUCAGUGAAUACCCCCCUGUUGGCGAGUUCUAUUUCCCUCUCCGGAGCCCUCCUUUUUUUGAGUGGGGUGAAAAGUAAGGGUAAUAAGGGAUAGGGUACUAGACUAACACCUAAUUAAUAUAUAAUUUAUUCUAAGUAGUUAAACAUUCAACUAGACUAAAUUUUUUCUCAUAGUACUUGACUAAAGUAAGCGGGCAAGCGGCGGGAAUCGAACCCGUAUCUUCUCCUUGGCAAGGAGAUGUUUUACCAUUGAACUACGCUCGCUACGGAAUAUAUUUUAUAGCGUAUAUCCGCUUGUGUCGACCGUCUAUGUCUGGGUCGACCGUUUCAUUUUCUAUUAUAUUAGAGUUUUCCUUUUUUUGAUUGUCUGUCAAUCAAUAUUCUAAUGGCAAUGCAAUUUCAUAAUACUGAAAGAGAAGAGGUAGCAAUUCGGAACGCAAAUUGCGUUUUAAUGUGUCUCACUAUUUGAAUUUUUUCGAAGAAAUGUCCUUUUUAUUUAUUUUGUAUCGGGUUACUCAAUACUAAACAAAUUUAUGAAAUGAGAGAAUUCAGAAUAGCUACGAGAAAGACUAGACCAAUCCAUAAUGAUGUAUCGGAAAAAACAACGUUUUUAUUAUUUGACCAACCAUCAGGAGAAGCAAAUACAAGGGGUACACUAAUUACUAAGACUGAGGAAGUCGCAAUUAAUGCAAAAACAGCUAAUUGGAAAGCAAUAGUCAUAUUUCUAAUCCUCAAGCUAUCAUCAAAUAAAGUUGACUACAUAUUUGAUCCCUCACUUAACCUAAAUUGUAAAAAAUACAAGAAGUAGAAGGGGUUUAAUCAUGAAUCCAUUGAUUCUUCUCUUUAAUUAAUAAUUAAAACUUAUUACUUACCGCUUUUAUUUGGAUAUGGGGAUUAGGGUAGGGGAUUUAGUCUUUAUUUCAAAAGCGGGUAUAGCGGAUCUUCUAUCCGUGUAUACAGUAUACAGAAAUAUAUCGAAAAAGGAUUUGCAUCUGAGAUGUUUCUAGAGGUUAGUAGAUCCUUUUAUUUUUAUAUGGCUGUGUUCUAUUUCUAGGAUUAAAGAAAAAGGGAGUAAUCGAAGAAUUAGAGAAAGAUCUACAAAAAGAAAUUAACUCUGUAAACCAGAGAAUUAAUAUUUCUAUCGAAAAAGUUAAAGAGCCUUAUAGACAACCUAACAUUCUUGCAGAAUAUAUAGCUUUUCAAUUAAAAAAUCGAGUUUCAUUCCGAAAGGCAAUAAAAAAAGCCAUUGAAUUAACUAAAAAAGCAGAUAUAAGGGGAGUCAAAGUAAAAAUAGCGGGUCGUCUCGGAGGAAAAGAAAUUGCACGUGCGGAAUGCAUCAUAAAGGGUAGACUUCCUCUCCAAACAAUUCGCGCUAAAAUUGAUUAUUGUUGCUAUCCAAUUCGAACUAUCUAUGGAGUAUUAGGUGUAAAAAUUUGGAUAUUCGUAGAUGAAGAAUAACUAAUCUUGUCUUCGCAUUCUGUGCAGUGAUAGAAUAAAAAAUGACAAGAGCCUGUUUUCCUGAAAUCCCUAAAAGAAAGAAGAAAUUAUACCUCUUUCUAUAAGAUUUAAUGAAAAUUGAUAAAUCAUUUAAUAUAAUUGCUAUGCUUAGUGUGUGACUCGUUAUUUUUUCUUUAAAAAAAUAAAAAAAUUUAGUAAUUAUAGAAAAUUAACUAAUAACCAACCUAUUGCUUCGUAUUGUCGAGAUCCUAACUAAGAAGCAGUCACUAUCUGAAUAAAUAUCUCUAUCAUAAAUGAGUAGAUCUAUCAUAUAGUUGUAGCAACUGCAAUUUUUUCUCUAAAAAAGAAACGAGAUUCUAGGUUCUGAAGCAAAACUAAAGGGAUGUAGAUAAAGGGAAAGAUGAUAGAAAGAAGAAUAAGUAAGAUAUAGGAUUCCAAUAUGUAUGGUCUAUGAAUUGCAUCAAAAAAGGCAAUGUGAUAAAGCAUCAAUAUAAUAUAAUAAAAAUAACAGAGAAUUAGAAAUCGUAACUUGAAACAAGAACUACAAAUUUAAAGCAAUAAUUAAAGAGCCACCCGGGUUAAUAAAACUGAGAAAAUUAACUCGAAAAGACAUUUUUUUGAAGCUCCGUUGCGGGAUUCAGACCUAACCAUUCAAGGAGAAGCAGUGGGAACGACACAACCUAUGACUCCAUAGGAUUUUAUUGCAAAGAAUCCAAAAACCUCAUUGGACGGGAUGGCGGAACAAACCCCAAAAAUUGUCUUAUUUGGUAAGGUUAUAAAUUACCAAAUAAGACAGGAAUAGAGUAAAUAUUCGCCUGCGAAAUCCUUAUUGAAUUAGAAUACUUUACCGCAAUUCAAUAAUUCAAUAAAUUCAAUAAAAGUAAAAAGAAAGAUAUUUUUUUAAGAAGGAUUACGUUAAAAAUAGAAUAUAGAUAAAUAGACACACACAUCUAGAUAUAUUCUAGAUCUUCUUUCUUGACUAUAUAUUUUUCUAUUUGAACAAAAUUAACUAUGAAAAAUAAAAAAAAACUAACUUUUUCUAUUACCUAUUAAUGUGUAUCUAUCCAUAAUAUUUUUGAAUAUUAUGGAAUUAGAGCAAUUUGCACGCUUUCUCAUUUAAUUCGCGAGGAGCUGGAUGAGAAGAAACUCUCAUGUCCAGUUUUGCAGUAGAGAUGGAACUACGAAAGAACCAUCGACUAUAACCCCAAAAGAACCAAAUUUCGCAAACAACAUAGAGGAAGAAUGAAAGGAAAAUCCUGCCGAGGCAAUCGUAUUUGUUUUGGUAGAUAUGCUCUUCAAGCACUUGAACCCACUUGGAUCACGGCGAGACAGAUAGAAGCGGGACGAAGAGCAAUAACACGAUAUGCACGUCGUGGUGGAAAAAUAUGGGUACGUAUAUUUCCCGACAAACCAGUUACACUAAGACCCACAGAAACACGUAUGGGCUCGGGAAAGGGGUCCCCCGAAUAUUGGGUAGCUGUUGUUAAACCAGGUCGUAUACUUUAUGAAAUGGGUGGAGUAUCCGAAACUGUAGCUAGAGCAGCUAUCUCCAUAGCUGCCAGUAAAAUGCCCAUACGAAGUCAAUUUAUUCGAUUAGAGAUAUAGAACCCCCAAAACGGGUUUUUCUUUCUGGAAAGACAAUAUUUCUUUCAUCCUUUUGCAUCGAAAUAAAAAAUUGAAAUCCAAAUAAUAUGAUUCAACCUCAGACCCUUUUAAAUGUAGCAGAUAAUAGUGGAGCUCGAAAAUUGAUGUGUAUUCGAGUCAUAGGAACUGCUGGUAAUCAGCGAUAUGCUCGUAUUGGUGAUGUUAUUGUUGCUGUAAUCAAAGACGCAGUGCCCCAAAUGCCUCUAGAAAGAUCCGAAGUAAUUCGAGCUGUAAUUGUACGUACAUGUAAAGAGUUCAAAUGUGAAGACGGUAUAAUAAUCCGCUAUGAUGACAAUGCAGCGGUUAUAAUUGAUCAAAAAGGAAAUCCAAAAGGAACUCGAGUUUUUGGGGCGAUCACCGAGGAAUUGAGAGAAUUGAAUUUUACCAAAAUAGUUUCAUUAGCUCCUGAAGUAUUAUAAAUACUAGUAGGCGAAAUUUAGAUCAAAGAGUGAAUUAGUAGAUUGUGUUUCAUGUAUAUGUUUUAAAAUCUAAAAUGAAAAGAAAAAAAGAAAACAUGUUGAUUAUAGAAAAAUUGGGAGGAACCUAGAAUUAGAAUCUUAUGGGCAAAGACACUAUUGCUGAUUUACUAACCUCUAUAAGAAACGCGGACAUGAAUAAAAAAGCAACAGUUCGAGUAGUAUCUACAAAUAUUACUGAAAACAUUGUAAAAAUACUUCUACGAGAGGGUUUUAUUGAAAGUGUUCGGAAACAUCAGGAACGUAACAGAUAUUUCUUGGUUUUAACUUUGCGACAUCAAAAGAGAAAGACUAGAAAAGGAAUAUAUAGAACAAGAACUUUUUUAAAGCGUAUCAGCCGACCCGGCUUACGAAUUUAUACCAACUAUCAAGGAAUUCCUAAAGUUUUGGGUGGAAUGGGAAUUGCUAUUCUUUCUACUUCUCGAGGGAUAAUGACAGAUCGAGAGGCUCGACUAAACAGAAUUGGGGGAGAAGUCUUAUGUUAUAUAUGGUAAUCGCCUUGCCUAUAGUGCCCGAAUUCUCUCUCGAACUUCCUAUUAUUCAAACAAAAAGAAAAAAUAGCAGAAAAAAAAAUGACAGAAAAAAAAUAGGUGAGAAAAGAAAAACCCGAGAGAAGCAAAAGUAACUUUCGAAAGUUUAGUUACGGAAGCCCUACCCAAUGGAAUGUUCCGCGUUCGUCUAGAGAAUGACACCAUCAUCCUGGGCUAUAUUUCAGGAAAGAUUCGGUCUAGUUCUAUACGAAUACUGAUGGGGGAUAGGGUCAAAAUUGAAGUAAGUCGUUAUGAUUCAAGCAAGGGACGUAUCAUUUAUAGACUUCCCCAUAAGGAUUCGAAGCGUAUCGAAGACUCGAAGGAUAGCGAAGAUUUGAAGGAUAGCGAAGAUUUGAAGGAUUAGGUUUUUCUUUUUUCUAGAAUAAUAAAUGCAAAGUUCAAAAAUUACAGCGAAGAGACUUAUUUUUUCCAAAAGAUUAGAUUCAUGGUUUAAGAAAGGAUACGGAAAUAUGAAAAUAAGAGCUUCCGUUCGUAAAAUUUGUACAAAAUGUCGACUGAUUCGUAGGCGUGGCCGAAUUAGAGUCAUUUGCUCCAACCCGAAACAUAAACAAAGACAAGGAUAAUCUUUCGAAAAAGCACUUUACUUUCUAAAAAGUAAAAAAAAAGAAUACCUACGGGAAUGUUUAAAUUAAAAAUAAAAUAAUUUGAAAUAAUUAAAGUAAAGGGUAUAUUUUACCCUGAAACGGAUAUCUUUGUAUCUUUUAUUUAUUUAUUUUUACUCAUAUUUAUGAGAUUUAUGAGAUAAUAAAAUAUGGCAAAAGCUGUACCAAAAAUAGGUUCACGUAAGAGAGUGCGUAUUGGUUUACGUAGGAAUGCACGUUUUAGUUUACGGAAGAGUGCACGUAGAAUAACAAAAGGGGUUAUUCAUGUUCAAGCUAGUUUCAACAAUACCAUUAUAACUGUUACAGACCCACAAGGUCGAGUGGUUUUUUGGUCCUCUGCGGGUACUUGUGGAUUCAAAAGCUCAAGAAAAGCAUCACCCUAUGCUGGUCAAAGAACAGCAGUCGAUGCUAUUCAUACAGUAGGUUUACAACGAGCAGAAGUUAUGGUAAAGGGCGCUGGUAGUGGAAGAGAUGCCGCAUUACGAGCCAUUGCUAGAAGUGGUGUGCGCUUAAGUUGUAUACGCGAUGUAACACCUAUGCCGCAUAAUGGAUGUCGACCGCCUAAAAAAGGCGUCUGUAAAAGAAUUAACCCGCUUUCAAGAGAAAUAAACGAUUCAAUGAUCAAAUAAUAAUACUAGUCUAUUAUGGUUCGAGAGGAGGUAGCAGGAUCCACUCAAACAUUACAGUGGAAGUGUGUUGAAGAGUAGAUAGUAAGCGUCUUUAUUAUGGUCGUUUCAUUCUGUCCCCGCUUAUAAAAGGUCAAGCGGAUACCGUCGGUAUUGCCUUGCGAAGAGCUUUACUUGGAGAAAUAGAAGGAACAUGUAUCACACGUGCAAAAUUUGGAAGCGUGCCACACGAAUAUUCUACAAUAGCGGGUAUUGAAGAAUCCGUACAAGAAAUUUUAGUAAAUUUGAAAGAAAUUGUAUUGAGAAGUAAUCUCUAUGGAGUUAGAGACGCAUCCAUUUGCGUCAAAGGUCCCAAAUGCAUAACUGCUCAAGAUAUCAUCUUACCACCUUCCAUAGAAGUCAUUGAUACGGCACAGCCUAUAGCUAACUUGACCGAGCCCAUUGAUUUCUGUAUUCAGUUACAGAUCAAGAGAGAUCGUGGAUAUCAGACGGAACUUAGAAAGAACUAUCAAGAUGGAAGUUAUCCUAUAGAUGUUGUAUCCAUGCCUGUUCGAAAUGUGAAUUAUAGUAUUUUUUCUUGUGGGAAUGGAAAUGAAAAACACGAGAUACUUUUUCUCGAAAUAUGGACUAAUGGAAGUUUAACCCCUAAGGAAGCGCUUUAUGAGGCUUCUCGUAAUUUGAUUGAUUUAUCAUAAUAAAAUGGAUUUUAGGUAUCUAGGGAAAAUUCACUUCGAAGUAACUAUUUCCUAGAUACCUAUGCACGGUACCUCACGGUUGAAUGAAUCAACCUGAAAAAUACCUAAAAAAGGCCUAAAGUUAAGGAUUUAUCAAUGGGUAAUGUUGCUCCAAUACCUAACCAAAGAGCUACUGCAGUACCGAUUAAAAAAACGGUCGUAGCUACCGGGCGACGAAAUGGAUUUUGGAAUUUGUUGACAUUUUCUAGAAAAGGUACUGUCAAUAAGCCUGUUGGCACAGAAACCAUUAAGAGAACGCCCAAUAACUUAUUGGGUACCAUACGGAGUAUUUGAAACACGGGAAAGAAGUACCACUCGGGUAAUAUUUCCAAAGGAGUUGCAAACGGAUCCGCGGGUUCACCAAUCAUUGAUGGCUCGAGAACAGCUAAACCUACAUUACAUGCAAUAGUACCUAGAAUUACUACUGGAAAAAUAUAUAAAAGAUCGUUGGGCCACGCGGGUUCGCCGUAAUAAUUAUGUCCCAUCCCUUUAGCUAAUUUUGCUCUUAAUACAGGAUCAUUUAAGUCUGGUUUCUUUGUUAUUGGGAUAGGUGAACUCUUUAGGAUCCAUCCCCCAAAGGAACCGGACAUGAGAAUUUAUCAUCAUCCGGCUCGAGCAAUAAAGAAAGAAAUAAGACCGCGGAAGAUCCAUAAUAAUAAUAGAAUAAGGUAUAUAAUUACUCAAUGACUCUAGGCAAGAAAAGCUUUAUCAGAUUAUCUUUUCCGAAGUUGCACCUACAACUACUCAUUGAAAAUAAUCCUAUUCUUAUGGGUAAAUGCUCAAUAUCCAAGUGGGCUUACAAAUUUGAUCAUGAUCAAUUGCUUUGUGGAUUGUCUCAUGUCUCUUGAUUAGUUGGUCUUUAUCCCCUCACUAUCGCAAGUUUCUUACGCCCAAACAAAGUAUUUACUUGUUACUAAUAAAAAAAUCAAAAAGUUUAGCCUAUGCUCUUCCUUAGAUCCCUUCUUUUACUCCGAUAGUAUUGCGAAUCGCAAUCGAUGCAAAGAAAAUGAAUGCAUUUCCAUACCAUAAUAAAAAAAGGUAAGUGUAAUAAAUAGAGAAUUGGAUCAUGUCACAUGACUUAUUCCAUUUCUACUCUAUGGGACCUUACGGAGCCUUUUCAUGGAUGACAUGGUUGGGGUAUGAUCAUAGAAAAUAUUCUCCUCAAGUGAACCAGCCUAUCCUUCCUAGGUAGGGGACUUACGUGUUGAUUGGAUGCGGAGACACCUUUGGUUGUGAAUUCUAAUGUGGCAGAUCCAAUUCUUUAUCUGCAUGGCCAAAUCUAUAAUUCAAGUCACACACUCCCAUAAUCCGCCUUUUUUUCUUUUGUAAAAUUAACUUCAACUAUUUGUAUUACAUCAAAAUACUUCGGAGUUGAAGAGAAGUAUCCAAAUGACAUGUGUUAUUUUACAAUAACCCAUGUUUGUAGCAAUGAAAUACCACAACCUACCCAAUAUUAUAUAUGAGAAUUCUAAUUCUCUAUGAUAUGCCUUCCCUAUAAAGGACCCGAAAUACCUUGCUUACGUAUCAUUGGAAAGUGCAUUAACAUAAAUACGGCAGUAAGCAGAGGAAGUACAAAGGUAUGUAAACUAUAAAAACGAGUCAAAGUGGAUUGGCCCACACUAGCACUUCCACAUAAUAACUCCACUAGAGGCGAUCCUAUUACCGGAAUCGCAUCAGGUACACCUGUCACAAUUUUGACUGCCCAAUAACCAAUUUGAUCCCAAGGCAAAGAAUAACCCGUUACACCAAACGAUGCAGUCAAAACAGCCAAAACCACACCUGUGACCCAAGUUAAUUCGCGGGGUUUUUUAAAUCCACCUGUGAGAUACACACGAAAUACAUGUAGGAUCAUCAUUAGAACCAUCAUACUUGCUGACCAUCGAUGAACUGAUCGGAUUAACCAACCAAAGUUGGCCUCGGUCAUUAUGUAUUGAACCGAGGAAAAAGCCUCUGUAACAGUUGGGCGAUAGUAAAAAGUCAUAGCAAAUCCGACGCUGUAACAUAGUUGAGGUUGAAUCUAAAGGAUCUACUGCUGGAUAAAUACCCUUGGAAGCUAAUCCUUUGGAAAGUACGGUAGUAGCAUCCAAAUGGGCAAAUGUUGUGGCAGGAGCAGGGUCAGUCAAAUCGUCCGCAGGUACAUAAACCGCUUGGAUCGAAGUUAUAGAUCCCUUUUUAGUAGAAGCAAUUAUUUCUUGCAAAGAACCCAUUUCUGUACUAAGAGUAGGUUGAUAACCCACCGCGGAGGGCAUUCUCCCUAAUAAAGUGGAUACCUCCGAUCCUGCUUGAACAAAACGAAAGAUAUUAUCGAUGAAUAAAAGCACGUCUUGCUUAUUAACAUCUCGGAAAUAUUCCGCCAUAGUUCGGGCAGUUAAACCAACUCUCAUACGAGCUCCCGGUGGUUCAUUCAUUUGGCCAUAGACUAGAGCUACCUUUGAUUCCUCAAUAUUUUUUUCAUUAAUUACUCCGGAUUCCCUCAUUUCCAUACAAAGAUCAUUUCCUUCGCGAGUCCGUUCCCCUACUCCACCAAAUAUGGAUACGCCCCCAUGAGCUUUAGCAAUGUUGUUGAUUAAUUCCAUGAUGAGUACUGUUUUACCUACUCCAGCCCCCCCAAAUAGUCCUAUUUUUCUUCCACGUCGAUAAGGAGCUAAAAGAUCGACGACCUUAAUACCUGUUUCAAAGAUGGAUAAUUUCGUAUCUAACUCGAUAAAGGCAGGCGCAGAUCUAUGAAUAGGGAACGUUGCACUACUAUCUACAGGACCCAUUGUCAACAGGCUCCCCAAGAACGUUGAAAAUUCGCCCGAGAGUAGCUCCGCCGACCGGAACACUGAGAGGAGCUCCUGUGUCAAUCACUUCCAUUCCUCUCAUCAACCCAUCUGUAGCACUCAUAGCUACAGCUCUAACUCGAUUAUUUCCUAAUAAUUGUUGUACCUCACAAGUCACAUUAAUUUGCUUAUCGGCAGUGUCUCUACUCUUGACUACCAAAGCGUUAUAAAUAUAAGGUAACUUACCGGGGGGGAAAGUGACGUCCAGCACGGGUCCAAUAAUUUGAUCGAUACGGCCUGUACUUUUUUCUUCAAUUGGGGAAACCCCGGGACGAGAAGUAGUAGGAUUGGUUCUCAUAAUUAUCACAUAAUAAAAAAAAAGGAAUUUGUCGAAAAAAAAAUUUCUUGUUGAAUAAUACCAAAUCCAAAAAAAUAUCCAAAAAUCCAAAAGUAAAAAGGAAAUCAAUUAGUUAAUUCAAUAAGAGAAAAAAGGGGAACAGGACUUGAUUUCGUUGCCCAAGCGAAUCCCUUUCAACCCUUUACUCAUGGAAUGAGGCCGUUGGAAAGUUCAAUCAAUCUUUUUUUCAUAAGAUAGAUUUUUCCUUUUGUGGAGGAUCUGUGCCUACUCUACUUUCCUAUCUAGGACUUCGCUAUACAAAAUAUAUACUACUGUGAAGCAUAGAUUGCUGUCAACAGAAAAUUUUCUUAGUAUUUAGUUAGGUAUUUCUUUUCAAAAUAAGAAAGGGGCCCUUUAAUAAUUUGUAAAAAAAAAAGGUUAAGGAUUGAUUUGGGUUGCGCUAUAUCUAUCAAAGAGUAUACAAUAAUGAUGGAUUUGUUAAAUCAAAUCCUUGGUUUAAUAACGAACGGUGUUAACUUACCAUAACAACAACUCAAUUCCUAUCGAAUUCCUAUAGGAUAGAACAUACACAGGGUGUACGCAUUAUAUAUGAAUGAAAAAUAUUAAUUAACUUAAGCAUGCCCUCAAUUUUCUGUAAUGAGUUGCUAUUAAUUGAAUAUCUCUUUUUUUUAUGAGAUUUUUGCUAAAGUUUCAUUUACGCCUAAUUCACAUCGAGUAGACCUUGUUAUUGUGAGAAUUCUUAAUUCAAGAGUUGUAAGGAGGGACUUAUGUCACCACAAACAGAAACUAAAGCAAGUGUUGGAUUUAAAGCUGGUGUUAAAGAUUAUAGAUUGACUUACUACACCCCGGAGUAUGAAACCAAGGAUACUGAUAUCUUGGCAGCAUUCUGAGUAUCUCCUCAACCUGGGGUUCCGCCCGAAGAAGCAGGGGCUGCAGUAGCUGCCGAAUCUUCUACCGGUACAUGGACAACUGUUUGGACUGAUGGACUUACUAGUCUUGAUCGUUACAAAGGACGAUGCUAUCACAUCGAGCCUGUUCCUGGGGAAGACAGUCAAUGGAUCUGUUAUGUAGCUUAUCCAUUAGAUCUAUUUGAAGAGGGUUCCGUUACUAACAUGUUUACUUCCAUUGUAGGUAACGUAUUUGGUUUCAAAGCCCUACGUGCUCUACGUCUGGAGGAUCUACGAAUUCCCCCGACUUAUUCAAAAACUUUCCAAGGCCCGCCUCAUGGUAUCCAAGUGGAAAGAGAUAAGUUGAACAAGUAUGGUCGUCCUUUAUUGGGAUGUACUAUUAAGCCAAAAUUGGGAUUAUCUGCAAAACAUUACGGUAGAGCGUGUUAUGAGUGUCUAUGUGGUGGACUUGAUUUUACCAAAGAUGAUGAAAACGUAAAAUCACAACCAUUUAUGCGCUGGAGAGAUCGUUUUGUCUUUUGUGCCGAAGCUAUUUAUAAAUCACAGGCGGAAACCGGUGAAAUCAAGGGGCAUUACUUGAAUGCAACUGCGGGUACAUGUGAAGAAAUGAUGAAGAGAGCUGUUUUUGCGAGAGAAUUAGGUGUUCCUAUUGUAAUGCAUGACUACUUAACUGGGGGAUUCACCGCAAAUACUACUUUGGCUCAUUAUUGCCGCGACAAUGGCUUACUUCUUCACAUUCACCGUGCAAUGCAUGCAGUUAUUGAUAGACAGAAAAAUCAUGGUAUGCAUUUCCGUGUAUUAGCUAAAGCAUUGCGUAUGUCUGGGGGAGAUCAUAUCCACGCCGGUACAGUAGUAGGUAAGUUAGAAGGGGAACGCGAAAUCACUUUAGGUUUUGUUGAUUUAUUGCGCGACGAUUUUAUUGAAAAAGAUCGUGCUCGCGGUAUCUUUUUCACUCGGGACUGGGUAUCCAUGCCAGGUGUUAUACCAGUAGCUUCAGGUGGUAUUCAUGUUUGGCAUAUGCCAGCUCUGACCGAAAUCUUUGGGGAUGAUUCUGUAUUACAAUUUGGUGGAGGAACUUUAGGACAUCCUUGGGGAAAUGCACUUGGUGCAGCAGCUAAUCGAGUGGCUUUAGAAGCCUGUGUACAAGCUCGUAACGAAGGGCGCGAUCUUGCUCGUGAAGGUAAUGAAAUUAUCCGAGCAGCUUGCAAAUGGAGUCCUGAACUAGCCGCAGCUUGUGAAGUAUGGAAGGCGAUCAAAUUCGAGUUCGCGCCGGUAGAUACUAUCGAUUAAUAGAUAAAACUAAAUAUGAAGAAGGUCUAAAUAAAAAGAGAAAAAAUAAGUUACGAAAUGCAGUGAUUCUUCUUUAUUCUUCUAAUUGACUGCAAUUAAACUCGGCUCAAUCUUUUUUUUUUCUAAAAAAAAAAUUCUAAAAAAAAGAUUGAACCGAAUAAAAAUGGAUCAUGAUACGAUCAUGAGACUUCACAAAUUGAGAUUCGCCUAUUCUACAUAUCUAGAAUAUAUAAAGGUAUAAUAAAUAAAUACAAAUCAAAUAUACUAUUAUCAUAUGAUAAUAGAAUCAAAUACGCAGUAUUUACAGGAAAAAAGUCUUCUAUAAAAAAUAUUUAUUUUGCAAACUAAAAAAUACAAUAGUCAAUAUUCCUCAUAAUAGAUAUACUUAAUUAUAUCAUAACAAUCUUAAGACAUUUUUCGAAUAGAUAGAAAUAGUUAAUUUGAAUUGAGACACCUAUUCUAUGACGGAUUUAAACUUACCUUUGAUUUUCGUGCCUUUAGUAGGUUUAGUAUUUCCGGCAAUUGCAAUGGCUUCUUUAUUUCUUUAUGUGCAGAAAAAUAAGAUUGUCUAGUAUUUUUUAGUGUAAGUAAGUGUAAGUAAUAGAAUAUGGUAGGGUAUGUGGCUCUUUCUACACACAAAUGAAAAACGGCUAUGGAUGCGGAUAUAGGCUACAAGCAUAAAUGCAUGAAUAUGCGGAGCCGGGUAUAGCUAUUUUUAUUUUAAUUGAAUCAACGAAUAUUUUUUGAAUAGAAAGUCAGUGUAUCUAACCUAUUAUUUCACAAGAGUACUAGUUGCUGAAGGCGAUUUCAGAAUCAAAAAAAGUAAAGUCAAAAUCAUUUAGCUUAUUCUCUCAAUUUCAAUCGACUGCUGCUGGAUUUAGUAUAUCUAAUAUGAAUUGGCGAUCAGAACACAUAUGGGUAGAACUUCUAAAAGGUUCUCGAAAAAGGGGUAAUUUUUUCUGGGCCUCUAUUCUUUUUCUAGGUUCACUAGGAUUCUUAUCAGUUGGGGUUUCCAGUUAUCUUGGUAAGAAUAUGAUAUCUAUACUUCCAUCUCAACAAAUUCUUUUUUUUCCGCAGGGGGUCGUGAUGUCUUUCUACGGAAUCGCGGGCUUAUUCAUUAGCUCCUACUUGUGGUGUGCUACUUUGUGGAAUGUAGGUAGUGGUUAUGACCGAUUCGAUAGAAAAGAGGGAAUCGUGUGCAUUUUUCGUUGGGGAUUCCCUGGAAUAAAACGUCGCGUCUUCCUUCGAUUCCUUAUGCGGGAUAUCCAAUCAAUUAGAAUUUAGGUUAAAGAGGGUUUUUAUCCUCGUCGUAUCCUUUAUAUGGAAAUCCGGGGCCAGGGGGUCAUUCCCUUGACUCGUACUGAUGAUAAGUUUUUUACUCCACGAGAAAUUGAACAAAAAGCUGCCGAAUUGGCCUAUUUCUUGCGCGUACCAAUUGAAGUAUUUUGAGUAUCCAUUGUAUUUUUUGGAACUGAAUAGAAUGAAGAAGAAUUGGAAGAAGAAAAGUUUUCUCAACAUGGGGAGGAAGUCCCUCCGAAAUUUGAUUUGUUAUUGUAUUGUAAGGGGCUUUUUUAGUAUUUAUCUAAAGGAAGGAACAAACGAGGAUAAGAUAAAAUUGCUGUAAAUUUAUUUUGCCCAAGUGGGAUAUAUGGCAUACUAUUCUUUCCAUUUUCAUCUUUUUUUCUAUUCCACUCCAUCUAGAUAUAAGAAAGAACCCAAUGCAAUGAAAUUCCACUAAUAUACAAUACAAAAAAGAAGAAUAGAUACAGGGUCUCAAACCUUGCUAGAGUUUUUGCUUCAAAGAAAAAAAAUAUCAUCAUAGAGUCAGCGAAUGAAGCGGAUUCAUUAACAACUCAAUUUAUAGAUCAAAAAUGAAAAAAAAGAAAGCAUUGCCUUCUUUACUAUAUCUUGUAUUUAUCGUACUUUUGCCCUGGGGGGCCUCUUUCUCAGUUAACAAAUGUCUGGAACUUUGGAUUAAGAAUUGGUGGAAUACCAGACAAUCUGAAACUCUCUUAACUGAUAUUCAAGAGAAAAGGAUUCUAGAAAGAUUCAUAGAAUUAGAAGAACUUUCUCUCUUGGACGAGAUGAUAAAAGAGAAACCAAAGACACAUGUACAAAAACCUCCUAUAGGAAUACACAAGGAAAUAAUACAAUUGGUCAAAAUAGAUAAUGAAGAUCAUCUCCAUAUCAUUUUGCAUUUCUCGACAAAUAUAAUCUGUUUGGCUAUUCUAAGUAGUUCUUUUUUUUUUGGUAAAGAGGAACUUGUCAUUUGGAAUUCUUGGGUUCAGGAAUUCUUCCAUAACUUAAAUGACUCAAUAAAAGCUUUUUUUAUCCUUUUGGUUACUGAUUUUUUGUUGGAUUUCACUCCACCCGGGGUUGGGAACUAGUAAUUCGUUGGGUCUACAACGAUCUUGGAUGGGCUCCUAACGAGCUAAUUUUUACUAUUUUUGUUUGUAGUUUUCCAGUAAUUCUAGAUACAUGUUUGAAAUUUUGGGUCUUUUUUUGUUUAAACCGUCUAUCCCCUUCGCUUGUAGUCAUUUAUCAUUCAAUUAGUGAAGCAUAAAUUCAUUUGAUCUCCUGAUAUUAAUCAAAUUAGCAUCUUUCUUUCUUUAGAAAAAGGCCCCUUUCCAUUUUAGCAAAAUUCUUUCUAUUUCUACCUGCUUAAAGGUAUUCAUCAUUCCGGUACAACUGUUGCAGUAGAAUGACAACAGACUCGUGUAUAGGGAACUAGAUUAGCUUAGCUACCUAUCUAAUUUAUUGUAGAAAUUCUGGGAUCUGCGAUUGGACAUGGAAAAUAGAAAUACUUUUUCUUGGGUAAAGGAACAGAUGACUCGAUCGAUUUCGGUAUCGAUCAUGAUAUACGUAAUAACUCAGACAUCUAUUUCAAAUGCAUAUCCCAUUUUUGCGCAGCAGGGUUAUGAAAACCCACGAGAAGCAACUGGACGAAUUGUAUGCGCCAAUUGCCAUUUAGCUAGCAAGCCCGUGGAUAUUGAAGUUCCCCAAGCUGUGCUUCCCGAUACUGUAUUUGAAGCAGUUCUCCGAAUUCCUUAUGAUAUGCAACUGAAACAAGUUCUUGCUAAUGGGAAAAAGGGAGGGUUAAAUGUGGGUGCUGUUCUUAUUUUGCCCGAGGGAUUCGAAUUAGCGCCGCCCGACCGUAUUUCCCCUGAGUUGAAAGAAAAGAUAGGAAAUCUCUCUUUUCAGAGUUAUCGUCCCGAUAAAAAAAAUAUUCUUGUGAUAGGCCCUGUUCUCGGUAAGAAAUAUAGUGAAAUUGUCUUUCCCAUUCUUCCCUCUGAUCCUGCUACGAAGAAAGAUGCUCAUUUCUUAAAAUAUCCCAUAUAUGUAGGGGGAAACCGAGGAAGAGGGCAGAUCUAUCCUGAUGGUAGCAAGAGUAACAAUACGGUCUAUAAUGCUACGUCAACAGGUAUAGUAAAAAAAAUACUACGUAAAGAAAAAGGGGGGUAUGAAAUAUCCAUAGUGGAUGCAUCGGAUGGACGCCAAUUGAUUGAUAUUAUACCUCCCGGGCCAGAACUUCUUGUUUCAGAGGGGGAAUCCAUCAAGCUUGAUCAACCAUUAACAAGUAAUCCCAAUGUGGGAGGAUUUGGUCAGGGGGAUGCAGAAAUAGUGCUUCAGGAUCCAUUACGCGUCCAAAGGGCUUUUGUUCUUCUUCGCAUCCGUUAUUUUGGCACAAGUUUUUUUGGUUCUCAAAAAGAAACAGUUUGAAAAGGUUCAAUUGUACGAAAUGAAUUUCUAGGUCCCGGGAUUUCUUACCAUCAACUUGGUAAAAAGCCGGGAUUUAUUGGCAAUUGUUAGAAUUAUCUAUGAUCUAUUUUGGAAAUCCUUUUUUUGUUUAGACUUUUUUUUGUUUGCGAGAUGUCUGGAAUUCCUUAUUUCUAUCUCAUGCAAAAGAAGAGAAUCCAAGGCAAAGGCGAGAACAAUAAAAGGAUUUCUUCCUUUUCAAAGGGAUUGCUGGUCUUGUUAAUCGUCUAUUUGGCACAAGAAAAAGAGAAAAAGGCCUUUUUCUUGUGCCAAUUCUUGUUUUCUUGUCUCGAAAUAAGAAUCCUUUUUCUUUCUAUUCGUCAAAGGUUACAAUUUCUUCUUUAUUCGGGUCUGUCUCUUGGCCCUCUUUUGCUUAGGUUCAGGGGAGGUAGUGCACAAACAGAGGGGAAGGGAAUAUGGCGGGGGACAAAUUUAUUGUGAUUGUGAGCAAAUAGAAUUGCUUGACUUGUUCGAUUAAGUUCAAUUUAGAACUUACAGAAAUUUUGCAAAAAAAAACGUAAACUUUUCCGUUGAAGGGUGGUUUUUUUUAGGCUAGUUGAGUAGUUUUGAUUAAGGUUUUAUUAGUUUAUUACUCUAAGCUAAAUCAAUGAUUUCCAGGAGACUCUCUUCGUGGAAUAAAAUAUUGUAUUGGAUCCUCGAUUGAUCUCUUUUUCUUAUUGCUUCAUAAGAGUGAAUCAAAUAGAUUAAAGUCGCGUUAUAAGAGUAAGAAUUAUGCGGGUCCUUUCCGCUCUAAUCAGAUAAAAAAAAGCGGGGGUAAGGACCCGCUAAGCUCCUACUUUUUCAUGUUUCCAAUCCGAUCCCUCCGAUUACUAUAGAGAUGAACCCAAUCCAGAAUAUGAACCAUAAAAGAAAGCACCUACUAAAUCAAUCACAGGAAUACCAGUUACCGUACCUAUCAGCCAAAGAGGAAUUCUUCCAGUAGUAUCGGCCAUUUCCCCUACUUUCCUCCACAUUUUAUCAAGUGGUCAUGCUAGAGACAAAAACAGUCAUGGAUAGUUAUGUUAUAAGGAUGGUAUCCUUCCAAAUGGGAUAAGAGAGUUCUUACUACUCUCUUCUUUUCUCUCAAUUGAAGAAGUAAUUGGAAAACAAAACAGCAAGUACAAAAAUGAGUAAUAAACCCCAGUAUAGACUGGUACGAUUCAAUUCAACAUUUUGUUCAUUCGGGUUUGAUUGUGUCAUAGUUCUAUAGUUGGAAUUUAGUUUAUCGUUAAAAUGAGUAAUAAACCCCAGUAUAGACUGGUACGAUUCAAUUCAACAUUUUGUUCAUUCGGGUUUGAUUGUGUCAUAGUUCUAUAGUUGGAAUUUAGUUUAUCGUUGGAUGAACUGCAUUGCUGAUAUUGAUCCCAAGAAAAAAAACAGUAGGUACAGCUAGUCCGUGAAUAGCCAGCCAUCGCACUAUAAAAAUAGGAUAGGUUCGAUCUAUGGUCAUUGAGGGCCUCCUAAAAAGAUCUACUAAAUUUAUCGAGUUGUUCUAAAGAAUCAAAACGGUCGGUUAUUAAAGGAAUUCCUUGUCGGCUUUCCGUGAAAUACUCGUUUGGCCGAGGACUUCCAAACACGUCAUAAGCUAAACUCGUACUGACAAAUAACCAACCCGCAAUGAAUAGGGAAGGUAUAGUAAUGCUAUGAAUAACCUAGUAUCGAAUACUGGUAAUAAUAUCAGCAAAAGAACGUUCUCCCGUGCUUCCAGACAUGCUGAGCUCCCCAAAUUUUUGUACAUUCAAAAAAUGAUGCGGAACUGGGUAGUGAUAUUGAUCCGGAAGAAGCUCAACAGGCACUUAAAAUAGCCGAAGAUAACUUGAGUAAAGCUGAGGGUACGAAAGAAUUGGUUGAAGCGAAACUAGCUCUCAGACGAGCUAGGAUACGAAUCGAGGCUGUCAAUUGGAUUCCCCCAUCCAAUUGAAGACAAUCCAAUGGUUUAUAGUUGAUACAAAGAUAAAGGGAAGAGGGGUAGAAAAAGUUAUUAGAUAGCGAAGCGAAAUAAGCCCAAUGCUAUCUAGUAAUUUUUCUACCUACCUACCUACUAUUGGAUUUGAACCAAUGACUCCCGCCGUAUGAAAGCAAUACUCUAACCACUGAGUUAAGUAGGCAAUUUAUGAUCACAAAGGAAGACCCAUUACUUCGAUCGAUUAUAUAUCGAAUCCCUUUUCUAAGCAAUAACGCUUCCUUAUUGGUAUGUUAUAUACUAAACAGAUACAUAUUUAAAGAGAUACCCUCUGGCAUUAGAGAAUAUUCAUCUUGACAAUAAAUUAUCUAUAUGUUAAGAUAUCUCUGAUAAGGGCUAUAGCUCAGUUCGGUAGAGCAACUCGUUUACACGUGCGCCAAUGCUUUUCAAAGGAGCUUAUUAUGCAAUGAAUAUAAUGGAUCUUAUUGCAAAAUCAAUGUCUUACUUCAUAGAUUCGACAGAAUAGGAGAACAGUAGCCUGACAAAUAGUCUUAGUGAAUCCUGAUUCGACAUUAAAAGUAUAUUGAUUCUUUCCCAAUAAACGAAGACUUUUUUCUGUAAAUACUGCGUAUUUGAUUCCAUCCAUAAAUCGACUUUCCCUCCUAUGCUCUGAGUUCCAGUAUCGAUAAGAAUUCGAGUUCUUAUUGUUCUUAUGUUAUGGUAUGAAUAUACCAUACCAAUUCGUUAUGUAUGGAUGAUGGAUGAGAUUCCAUGGAUAGAGAGCCAAUUCCAAUAGACUUAUGGAACGUUCCCGUUCGCGUGCAUCCAGCAGGAAUUGAACCCGCAAAUUUACCAAUUAUGAGUUGGGCGCUUUAACCAUUCAGCCAUGGAUGCUUAACAGGGAUCAUCCUACAUCGUAAAUAACCAAUUUUCAUAUAGAAAGACAUAUCAUAGAAAAAUGAAAUCGAAAAUAUUCGGAGAUGGCAAAUAUUCGGAGAUGACUAUGAAAACACCUCUCUGGAUCCUCGAAUUGAAAGAGAGAUUGAGAGGGAUCAAGAAUCCUAAUUCUCUCUAUUUGGAAUGGAUCCAAUUCUAUUGAGUCUGACUCAUAGUGAUCAUUUCUCUUUAGAAUGACCUUGGUUAUCAAAGGAUUGAACAACCGGGAUCCAUUUACUUAUGAUACCUAGUUGGCAUUGAUAACAAGGAUCUAAUGAAUUAUGAGUUUAAUAGAUCCUCUUUAGCAGAAAGACGUAUAUUCCUUGCUCAUUAUCAGACAAUCACUUAUUCCCAAACCUCGUGUGGGGCUAAUCGUUUUCAUUUACCAUCUCAUGGAAAACCCUUUUCGUUCCGCUUAGCCCUAUCGGGUAUUUUAGUGAUAGGUUCUAUAAGAACUGGACGAUCCUAUUUGGUCAAAUACCUAACGAAAAAUUACGAUUUUCCUUUCAUUAAGGUACGAGGGCUUCUUAUUCCACGAGAACGAAAGCACCUUUUCAUUCUUUCAUAUACUAGGGGUUUUUACUUAGAAAAGACAAUGUUCCAUACUAAAAGAUUCGGGUGCAUAACCACGAGUUCC